GACGUAGGUGGCGAACGUUAUCCGGAAUUAUUGGGCGUAAAGGGUGCGUAGGCGGCAUGAUAAGUUAUUGGCGGCAAAUCGAGGCUCAACCUCGUGGAAACUGAUAAUACUGUCUUGCUUGAGUGCAGAAGAGGUUAACGGAACUCCAUGUGGAGCGGUAAAAAUGUGUAGAUAUAUGGAAGAACAUCAAUAACGGCGAAGGCAGUUAACUAUUCUGUUACUGACGUUGAGGCACGAAAGCGUGGGGAGCAAAAAGG
rnacentral:rRNA from 1 species